UACAGCGGCCACAGCGGUGGGGAUCCUCCCGUACCCAUCCCGAACACGGAAGAUAAGCCCGCCUGCGUGUCGGUGAGUACUGGAGUGGGAGACCCUCUGGGAAAAGCGACUCGCCGCUUCUA
rnacentral:rRNA from 1 species